rnacentral:rRNA from 1 species
AGUGUUAGAGUAGUAUAGUUAUGGUCUAAAAACUUAAAGAAUUUGGCGGUAUUUUACUCUAUUCAGAGGAACUUGUUUUUUAAUUGAUAAUCCUCAAUUUAUCUUACUUAUGAUUAUGAAGUUUGUAUAUCGUUGUCAGAGGAAUAUCUUUAAAAAGAAAAAAUUUUCUUAAUUAUUAAUAUUUAUAGGAAUAUUUCUAGUUAUGUCAGAUCAAGGUGCAGCUUAUAUUUAAGUUAAAAUGAGUUACAAUUAAUUUAUUAAUAUGGAUUAAAAGAUUAAAAUUUUUAUGAAGGUGGAUUUGAUAGUAAAUUAUUUAAGAGUGAAUAGUUGAUUUUAGUUCUAAAAUAUGU